GUAGCGCAGUGGUAAAGAAUCCGCCUGCCAAUGCAGGAGAUGCAAAUUCGAUCUCAGGAUUGGGAAGAUCCCCUGGAGAAGGAAAUGGCAACCCACUCCAUUAUUCUUGCCUGGGGAAUCCCAUGGACAGAGGAGCCUGGUGGGCUAUGGUCCAGGGGUCGCAAAGUGUCAGACACG